rnacentral:rRNA from 1 species
CGGUGAAUACGUUCCCGGGCCUUGUACACACCGCCCGUCACGUCAUGGAAGCCGGUAACACCUGAAGUCGCCGCGCUAACCCUCGGGAGGCAGGCGCCGAAGGUGGGACUGGUGACUGGGACGAAGUCGUAACAAGGUAGUUGUACCGGAAGGUGCGGCUGGAUCACCUCCUUU